UACACUCCUGCGGGAGGCAGCAGUGGGGAAUUUUGGACAAUGGGCGAAAGCCUGAUCCAGCAAUGCCGCGUGAGUGAAGAAGGCCUUCGGGUUGUAAAGCUCUUUUGUCAGGGAAGAAACGGUGAGAGCUAAUAUCUCUUGCUAAUGACGGUACCUGAAGAAUAAGCACCGGCUAACUACGUGCCAGCAGCCGCGGUAAUACGUAGGGUGCAAGCGUUAAUCGGAAUUACUGGGCGUAAAGCGUGCGCAGGCGGUUUUGUAAGUCUGAUGUGAAAUCCCCGGGCUCAACCUGGGAAUUGCAUUGGAGACUGCAAGGCUAGAAUCUGGCAGAGGGGGGUAGAAUUCCACGUGUAGCAGUGAAAUGCGUAGAUAUGUGGAGGAACACCGAUGGCGAAGGCAGCCCCCUGGGUCAAGAUUGACGCUCAUGCACGAAAGCGUGGGGAGCAAACAGGAUUAGAAACCCCUGUAGUCC
rnacentral:rRNA from 1 species